rnacentral:rRNA from 1 species
GAUGAACGCUGGCGGCGUGCUUAACACAUGCAAGUCGAACGCGCAGGCCCUUUCGGGGGCUGGGCGAGUGGCGAACGGGUGCGUAACACGUAGGAAUCUGGCCCAGAGAGGGGGAUAACCGCUGGAAACGGUGGCUAAUCCCGCAUAGGCUGGGGGGUCGAGAGGCUUCCCAGUGAAAGUUCCGGCGCUCUGGGAUGAGCCGGCGGCCUAUCAGGUAGUUGGUGGGGUAACGGCCGACCAAGCCGACGACGGGUAGGGGGCGUGAGAGCGUGGCCCCCCACACGGGAACUGAGAGACGGGCCCGACGCCUACGGGCGGCAGCAGUGAGGAAUCUUGUACAAUGGGGGCAACCCUGAUGCAGCGACGCCGCGUGCGGGAAGAAGGCCUUCGGGUCGUAAACCGCUUUUCUGGGGGACGAGGAAGGACGGUACCUCAGGAAUAAGUCCCGGCUAACUACGUGCCAGCAGCCGCCGCUGUAA